rnacentral:rRNA from 1 species
CUACGGAGGGGGCAAGCGUUGCUCGGAUUUACUGGGCGUAAAGGGACCGCAGGCGGUCUGUCUAGUCAGAUGUGAAAUCCCGGUGCUUAACGCCGGAACUGCAUUUGAAACUGGCAGACUAGAGUUAUGGAGAGGAGAACAGAAUUUCUGGUGUAGAGGUGAAAUUCGUAGAUAUCAGAAGGAAUACCGAUGGCGAAGGCAGUUCUCUGGCCAUAUACUGACGCUCAGGGUCGAAAGCGUGGGGAGCAAACAGGAUUAGAAACCCUAGUAGUCC